rnacentral:lncRNA from 1 species
GUCCCUCUUCUUAUUCAAUUCAAUUGCUCAAUACUCAGAUUGUUGAUGAUUAGAUUAGAUUAGAGGCCUUAGGUUGAGAUGUUUUUGUGUAUUCUGUUGUAUAUGGAACUUGCUUGUGUGCGUGCGUGCGUUUGGGUGUGUGUGUGGUGACGUGGCAAUAGGUUGCACUAACAACAAUUAUGCAUCACGAGAAAAGUGUAAGAAGUGCGGACAACCAAAGGAAGUAGCAGCUUCUCUUCAGAGUCAUCUCAGUUACUUCGCCCUUGGACCUGAUCCAGUCGACCAACUUGGUUCUUUACUCCCUUUCUCUAAUCAAGCUUUGGCUCUUAAAGAGUGGAGGAGCGGUGACUGGAUCUGCACAUGUGGGUUUCACAAUUAUUCCUCUCGUAUACAG